ensembl:ncRNA F43H9.5 ncRNA
CUCUUUUUAUACCUAGAUCCCUGUCAUACUGGCUCUUACAAAAUGUCCUUAUGUCGUUGCCAACACACCCAUCGCUCCGCCCAUUUCGAAGAGGACGUAUUCUUACACGUGGGACACAGAGAUAACUGCAAAAUCGCACGUGUGCGGGA